AUAAUCUUAUGGGACCACCAACAUAUAUGCAAUCUGUAUUGACCAAAAAGUCUUCAGACAGGUCAUAACUGUAUCAGUAACCUCUGGGGAACAUUUAAAAAUUUCCAAUGUCCUACCAUCAUCAGCCAAGCUUCUGAUUUAAUGAAUAUGAGAUGUGAUCUGAGCAUCAGAUUUUUUUCUUUUUAUUUCACCUAAUGUAAUUCAAAGAUGAUUGACACCACUGCAUUAGAGUUGUCUUCUCAACAAUGUGGAUUAAAGAGGCAAACAAACCGUAGCAUAAGUUUAAACCACAGAAAACAUCAAAACCUAGCCUGGCUUUGUUUAGUAUGUGUCAUAACUUGGAGAUUCAAAGGAUCUUUGCUUUUUAGCUUCCAAGUGAAAGGGUUUGUUUAUGGUGUCUACAAAGACACAGGAUUUUCUCCCUUCUCUGACAUAUGAUCUUUCUUUGUGGAGAAAGGGUCUUUUAUACUCUGGUGGUGCCAGCAUUACCCAGGGCGGCAAACUUUCAGCAAGGCAAUUUGAAAUGUAUCUGAAAAAAUGCCAUUCCUCCAAUUCUUAUCUAAAGUCUCAAGAGAAGUAAUUCUAGGAACAUUGAAGAGUCUUCAGAUCGCACAAGGGUAAAAUCAAGCUUCAUAUCAGACAGCACAACAGUUGUACAUUUCCAAACUGAUUUGGAGGAUGAUACAUUCAGAUUCUCAGAGGAAGCCUAUAAAACAAAUAUUCGUUGAGCAUCUAAUCCAGUCUAUGAGCCUUGCCUGAAGGAGAUGGGAAAAAAAUGACACGGCUUCAACCUCAGAGGGUCUACAGAAAAGCAGCCCACCCUGCCCCCAUCCUAUGCCUAUAAAGAUCCCAGCCAGCAGAGGAUAGAAGCAGCUGGAUGUCAGGAAGAAUCAGCUGGAUGUUGGAGAGAAGCAGCUUGACUCCAGAGAUGGCAACUGGACAUCAAAGAGAGGCAGUUUGACUUCAGGGGAGAGCGACCUUCCCUUCCCAUCCCUUUUGCAGCUCCCCUCUCUGCUGAGAGUUGUCUUCAUUACUCAGUAAAAUUCUCCACAUUCA